rnacentral:lncRNA from 1 species
AGUAGAAAAGAAGAAGUCCUAUCUGAUUUGCGAGACUGAGUUUAGAAAUUCUUUGGCCAAAGUAAGUAUGAAUAUUGGAAAAGAGUUUUCAUAGGAUUCACAAGUGAACUCAAAUCAAACCAAUCUAGCAUAUAACUAAUGAUGGGAUCUGACGAGUUCUCCAUGACCUCCGUCAAGUCGAAACUCAGGAUAAAAAGACUGAAUCACAUGAUA